UUUGCUCGUUUGUUCUGCUUUGCGGCACGGCUGCGGCUAGCUGCUCUAAAACUACAACUACACGAAUUGGGUCUGUUUGGCUAGCAGCUGCAGCCAAUGCUCCUGAAUUGUGUUGUGAUUGCUGCUGCCGCGGCUACACGACCGUAGCAAUCUCUCCCGACCAGCCUCAUAGUUAGGUUAUUCAUCUCAGAGCACGGCUAUUGGGUCUGUUAAGCAGGUGUUGUUGUAGCUGCGCUGCAGCCUUCAGGUGGGACGAGGCACUGCAUACCAACGUUGCUGGCUUGUAACUGCAGCCCGUGCAGUAGCUGCAGCAAUGGCCUGUUCGGCAAGCUGUUUGCGGUGGCUGCAGCUGCGGCUGUGGCUACACCGUGUGCGUGCGGCACGAUUGGUGUCGGCUGCAGUCCAGCCACAAAACAGGUAAUUUUCAGGGCAAUUUAUUGGCUCCGGUUUUUGGCACAAUUAUAAAAGUGUGAUGAAGAUGAAGAGUUUCUGAAAGUUGCAUGUCGCAAGUUAUAGACUACGGUUAUGCAACUUUUUGUCAAUUAUGGUUAGAGAUUUACAAAUAGACUUCAAUGAUUGUGAUCUCCUUACGUUAGUUUGGAUUCUUUGUUAUCCUUUGUGGUAUGUUUUAUUUGUUUGGAAUUACGCUCUGAGUGCUACUAUGUAAUAAUUGACUAUAACUCUUUUGAGCAAAGACUGAGAUUUUAUAUUCCAUUAUCUUAAAAAAAA